AAAUUGAAGAGUUUGAUCAUGGCUCAGAUUGAACGCUGGCGGCAGGCCUAACACAUGCAAGUCGAACGGUAACAGGAAGCAGCUUGCUGCUUCGCUGACGAGUGGCGGACGGGUGAGUAAUGUCUGGGAAACUGCCUGAUGGAGGGGGAUAACUACUGGAAACGGUGGCUAAUGCCGCAUAACGUCGCAAGACCAAAGAGGGGGACCUUCGGGCCUCUUGCCAUCAGAUGUGCCCAGAUGGGAUUAGCU
rnacentral:rRNA from 1 species